GUAUUACGGAAGUCGUCCUUAUAAUUUACCAAUUUGAAAGCAUUCCAAAAGUAAAAACAAAAUAUAUUGUAUCAUUAUAAACCCACACUUUGAGAAAAUACAUUCUGCUGACUUCUAUCAUUGUCUAGUAAUAUCAUGAAAGAGGAGCGGACAAUAGUUGUAAAUUAUGAUUGUUUUUAGUUUUUUGAAUGAAAUGAAUUUUUUGUUGAAAUUACUUGAAACUAAGCGAAGCUUGAAGAGCAAAUCGAUGUGGAAGGUCAAUAUUACAGCUGGCAGAAGUAGCAGACAAGUUAAAGACCGCAUGGCAACUACCGUUUCCUCUUGACUGGUUGAGCUCGCCAGUCGCCGGUGAGACGCGGCACGGCGCGCGCCGACACUGUCGCGUCCGUGACGUCAGCUAACUUGCAACGCGAAAAAUCAAUGUAUUCGCCUCACAUAAUAUAGUUUACCGCAUACCGCAUUUUCUAAGGGAAAAUGUGUCAUAUGUUAGUGAAGUGUUGACUUUUUAAAUAAUAAAACAAAAUCAUUGAUUAAAAUGUAAUGAUAAUAAUGACAUUAAACGCAGCGCGGCACGUGAACGUGAUUGUAAUUAUGUAAAUGACUGGCGAAAACCGAAGAAAAUACUUUACAUUCGUAUUCAGAACUUAAAAACUGACACCAAGAUUAUACAUAUACUUUAGUUAAAAUUAAUUUGAAUAGAUGUGAAAACUUUAAAUAGCCCACAAA